UCCUAUGUGAGUUUUUGAGCCUAUUGAAAGUGUGUGCAUUUUUCAUACACUCCUAUUUUUUUAUGUGUGAUGAACUUAUGUGAUAUACAUCUCUAGAACUUGCGUAACGAUCUUUCGAAAUGUUUGUCAUUGAUUGCAUGAAUUUGGAAAUGAUAGAGGCAUUAGGUUUACCACUAUGGCCCAAAUAACCAUGUUUCCCAAAGAAAAAUGAUAUCAUUAGAUUGCCAAUUUGAGCCGUGUAUGUUGAGCCUUUUAUUUCUUAUCACCAGAUAUGUCUACCCUUAUACCUGAAACAUUUUUCCUUACCCUUUCCAAGCGAGCAAUGCGAAAUUGUCUUAUGAGAAACGUUGGUGAAGUACUGUGAAGAUGUUUGGCAAAAAGAAUAAGUGUGGGGGUAUUUCAUGUUUGUGAUUAAAAAAAAAAAAAAAAAAGGAAAAAAGAGAAGAAAAGAAAAAGAAAAAGAAAAAUUGUACACAAAGAAAAUAAAAAGUUAUUCAAGUUUCAGUUUAAGAGUAUGGUUGGAGGUGCUAGAAGAAUUGCUGGAGAGCUUGAGUUCUUAUAAAUCUAAAGAAAAGAAUUGCUUGCAAUGUAGCUUGGAACUUGUGUUUUCCUAUUCUUUCAUUUCAAUAACCCUAUCCCUAAGCCUCAUUA
rnacentral:lncRNA from 1 species